rnacentral:rRNA from 1 species
GCGAAACCCAGUGAUCUACCCAUGGCCAGGUUGAAGCUCUGGUAACACAGAGUGGAGGACCGAACCAGUUGACGUUGAAAAGUCUUUGGAUGAGCUGUGGGUAGGGGUGAAAGGCUAAUCAAACUGGGAAAUAGCUCGUUCUCCCCGAAAUGCAUUUAGGUGCAGCCUCAAGUUUAGUUUAGUAGAGGUAGAGCGACUGGUUGGAUGCGGGGGCUUCACCGCCUACCAAAUCCUGUCAAACUCCGAAUGCUACUAAAUAUACUUGGGAGUGAGGGCAUGGGUGCUAAGGUCCUUGUCCGAAAGGGAAACAACCCAGACUAUCUGCUAAGGCCCCCAAAUGUAUGCUAAGUUGAUCAAACGUGGUCUGAUUGCUUUGACAGCUAGGAUGUUGGCUUGGAAGCAGCCAUUCAUUUAAAGAGUGCGUAACAGCUCACUAGUCGAGCGAUCGGGCGUGGAUAAUAAUCGGGCAUUAAGCAUACUGCCGAAGCAAUAGUCUCACAAUUUUAUUGUGAGAGGUAGGGGAGCAUUCUAGUUGCGCUGAA